GGUUAAGCGACUAAGCGUACACGGUGGAUGCCCUGGCAGUCAGAGGCGAUGAAGGACGUGCUAAUCUGCGAUAAGCGUCGGUAAGGUGAUAUGAACCGUUAUAACCGGCGAUUUCCGAAUGGGGAAACCCAGUGUGUUUCGACACACUAUCAUUAACUGAAUCCAUAGGUUAAUGAGGCGAACCGGGGGAACUGAAACAUCUAAGUACCCCGAGGAAAAGAAAUCAACCGAGAUUCCCCCAGUAGCGGCGAGCGAACGGGGAGCAGCCCAGAGCCUGAAUCAGUAUGUGUGUUAGUGGAAGCGUCUGGAAAGGCGCGCGAUACAGGGUGACAGCCCCGUACACAAAAAUGCACAUAUUGUGAGCUCGAUGAGUAGGGCGGGACACGUGGUAUCCUGUCUGAAUAUGGGGGGACCAUCCUCCAAGGCUAAAUACUCCUGACUGACCGAUAGUGAACCAGUACCGUGAGGGAAAGGCGAAAAGAACCCCGGCGAGGGGAGUGAAAAAGAACCUGAAACCGUGUACGUACAAGCAGUGGGAGCACGCUUAGGCGUGUGACUGCGUACCUUUUGUAUAAUGGGUCAGCGACUUAUAUUCUGUAGCAAGGUUAACCGAAUAGGGGAGCCGAAGGGAAACCGAGUCUUAACUGGGCGUUAAGUUGCAGGGUAUAGACCCGAAACCCGGUGAUCUAGCCAUGGGCAGGUUGAAGGUUGGGUAACACUAACUGGAGGACCGAACCGACUAAUGUUGAAAAAUUAGCGGAUGACUUGUGGCUGGGGGUGAAAGGCCAAUCAAACCGGGAGAUAGCUGGUUCUCCCCGAAAGCUAUUUAGGUAGCGCCUCGUGAAUUCAUCUCCGGGGGUAGAGCACUGUUUCGGCAAGGGGGUCAUCCCGACUUACCAACCCGAUGCAAACUGCGAAUACCGGAGAAUGUUAUCACGGGAGACACACGGCGGGUGCUAACGUCCGUCGUGAAGAGGGAAACAACCCAGACCGCCAGCUAAGGUCCCAAAGUCAUGGUUAAGUGGGAAACGAUGUGGGAAGGCCCAGACAGCCAGGAUGUUGGCUUAGAAGCAGCCAUCAUUUAAAGAAAGCGUAAUAGCUCACUGGUCGAGUCGGCCUGCGCGGAAGAUGUAACGGGGCUAAACCAUGCACCGAAGCUGCGGCAGCGACGCUGAUGCGUUGUUGGGUAGGGGAGCGUUCUGUAAGCCUGCGAAGGUGUGCUGUGAGGCAUGCUGGAGGUAUCAGAAGUGCGAAUGCUGACAUAAGUAACGAUAAAGCGGGUGAAAAGCCCGCUCGCCGGAAGACCAAGGGUUCCUGUCCAACGUUAAUCGGGGCAGGGUGAGUCGACCCCUAAGGCGAGGCCGAAAGGCGUAGUCGAUGGGAAACAGGUUAAUAUUCCUGUACUUGGUGUUACUGCGAAGGGGGGACGGAGAAGGCUAUGUUGGCCGGGCGACGGUUGUCCCGGUUUAAGCGUGUAGGCUGGUUUUCCAGGCAAAUCCGGAAAAUCAAGGCUGAGGCGUGAUGACGAGGCACUACGGUGCUGAAGCAACAAAUGCCCUGCUUCCAGGAAAAGCCUCUAAGCAUCAGGUAACAUCAAAUCGUACCCCAAACCGACACAGGUGGUCAGGUAGAGAAUACCAAGGCGCUUGAGAGAACUCGGGUGAAGGAACUAGGCAAAAUGGUGCCGUAACUUCGGGAGAAGGCACGCUGAUAUGUAGGUGAGGUCCCUCGCGGAUGGAGCUGAAAUCAGUCGAAGAUACCAGCUGGCUGCAACUGUUUAUUAAAAACACAGCACUGUGCAAACACGAAAGUGGACGUAUACGGUGUGACGCCUGCCCGGUGCCGGAAGGUUAAUUGAUGGGGUUAGCGCAAGCGAAGCUCUUGAUCGAAGCCCCGGUAAACGGCGGCCGUAACUAUAACGGUCCUAAGGUAGCGAAAUUCCUUGUCGGGUAAGUUCCGACCUGCACGAAUGGCGUAAUGAUGGCCAGGCUGUCUCCACCCGAGACUCAGUGAAAUUGAACUCGCUGUGAAGAUGCAGUGUACCCGCGGCAAGACGGAAAGACCCCGUGAACCUUUACUAUAGCUUGACACUGAACAUUGAGCCUUGAUGUGUAGGAUAGGUGGGAGGCUUAGAAGUGUGGACGCCAGUCUGCAUGGAGCCGACCUUGAAAUACCACCCUUUAAUGUUUGAUGUUCUAACGUUGACCCGUAAUCCGGGUUGCGGACAGUGUCUGGUGGGUAGUUUGACUGGGGCGGUCUCCUCCUAAAGAGUAACGGAGGAGCACGAAGGUUGGCUAAUCCUGGUCGGACAUCAGGAGGUUAGUGCAAUGGCAUAAGCCAGCUUGACUGCGAGCGUGACGGCGCGAGCAGGUGCGAAAGCAGGUCAUAGUGAUCCGGUGGUUCUGAAUGGAAGGGCCAUCGCUCAACGGAUAAAAGGUACUCCGGGGAUAACAGGCUGAUACCGCCCAAGAGUUCAUAUCGACGGCGGUGUUUGGCACCUCGAUGUCGGCUCAUCACAUCCUGGGGCUGAAGUAGGUCCCAAGGGUAUGGCUGUUCGCCAUUUAAAGUGGUACGCGAGCUGGGUUUAGAACGUCGUGAGACAGUUCGGUCCCUAUCUGCCGUGGGCGCUGGAGAACUGAGGGGGGCUGCUCCUAGUACGAGAGGACCGGAGUGGACGCAUCACUGGUGUUCGGGUUGUCAUGCCAAUGGCACUGCCCGGUAGCUAAAUGCGGAAGAGAUAAGUGCUGAAAGCAUCUAAGCACGAAACUUGCCCCGAGAUGAGUUCUCCCUGACCCUUUAAGGGUCCUGAAGGAACGUUGAAGACGACGACGUUGAUAGGCCGGGUGUGUAAGCGCAGCGAUGCGUUGAGCUAACCGGUACUAAUGAACCGUGAGGCUUAACCUU
rnacentral:rRNA from 1 species